ensembl:lncRNA
GCAGAUUGUUUUGUGUCACUAGAAAUUAUCUAUAAAAUGUUAUGAGUAAUAAGUUUGGUCAAGAACAUUACAGACUAGAUUUUGAACUUCUUUCAAAAAUGACUUAAAAUUUAAGAUGUAUUAGCAUGAUCAAGAGGAAAAACAAUUUAUUCUAUCUACUUCAAUAAACAUUUAGUGAAUUCCUAAAAUAUGCUGAGUACUCUUUUGAGGAUAUAAAGAUGAGUACGGUCCUUGUCUUUGAGGAACUUGUGUUCUGGAAAGACUUCACCAACAGGUAAACAGACAGUUUUAGUGUUUGAUAAAAGGCAGCCAAAGAAGGGCACAGGGACUCCUGUGAGCACAGUGGAGGAGGGGACCUUGGACCAGCCUACGUGGUGGGGAAGACCUCUUGGGUGUUGGAAGAAAUUCUCAGGUUCAUCAGGCAAGGAAAGGAGGAAAAGAUGUUCUGAGCAGAGACAAGAACAUCGUGUACCUGUGUUCAGUUGUCCAAUCAUGCUGUAUGUCACAAAUAAAAUCCAUACAAUGAUUGGCAUAUCCUACCCUAUUUUUUUUAACCCUCUUGCUUUUCCUCUUGUCGUUGAUUGUAAGUAUUCCUUUUGGGUUUUAGAAAAAAAGAGCAAUGGGAAGGAGAUGGAAAAUUGAGAGAGGCAGCUUGCUCUGUUCUUGGAUAAUCUCCCUGGUAGUGUUCAGUUUCCUUAUCCUUUCAGAAAUAGUAGGGAUAGAACAGAAGCUGUUGAUUCUAUCCAUCUGUGUCCAUAUCAAUUAAUCACUCCCCCCAACCCACAAGCUUUCAAAAGACAGGAGAUUAUGUGGUGUCCUCCUAAAUCUCUCCUUUCCUUUCAUUUGUUUCAUUUGAAUCUCAGAAAAGAAUAAUGUUGAUCGAUUUUGCUAUUUAGUAGCAUCCUUCCAUGUGCUGAGUACAGUGCGAUGCACCCGCCAUGGAAUGUGUUAUCUAAUCCUUACAACAGCCUGAGAGGCAGGUACUACUUUCCUUGUUUUAUACUUGAAAAAACAGAGGCACAGAGAGGUUAAAUAACUUCUUUAAAUUCAUUAAGUUGUAGAGUCAGUGUUUGAACCCAGGCAAUUAGACUCAAGGGCUGCACUCUUAAACCUUAUUCAAUACCAGCCCUUAUCUGCUAUUUAUUCCAUCAAUGUUUAAUAUCUUUACAAUGUACAAAACGUCCAUGUGGAUUUUUUUUGUGUGUGCAUGAGGAAGAUUGUUGCUGAGCUAACAUCUGUGCCCAUCUUCCUCUAUUUUGCAUGUGGGAUGCUGCCACAGCGUGGUUUUGAUGAAUGGAGUAGGUCCCUGCCUGGGAUCCAAAUCUGUGAACCUCAGGCUGCCUAAGUGGAGCACACAAACUUAACUACUAUGCCACUGAGCUGGCCCCCACAUCUGGAUUUUUUUUUAUGGCUUACAGCAUUUUAUAGAAUUUAGUGCACUUUCAGUUCAUUAUUUCAUUUUGAUCCUCAACAGAAUUCUGUUAGGUAGACCACCCAGAUAGUAAAAUUUCAUAGAUGAGAAAACUAAAACUCAAAGGGCUUGAGUUGAUCAAUGUCUCACAAUUAAGGAGCAGCAAGUCUCAAGCCUGAGUCUUUUGACCUACUUUACAGUUCUUUUCAGAGCAGGAGUGCUGGAACUAUCAUUGUAACAUAUGAGGGGGAAAGAAAACCUGAUCAUGGAAGUGACACAUACAAGGUCAAAUGCUGAAUCAGUGAAAGAUCCAACAUCAGAACUACGUCUCUAAAUAACUAUUCCAGUGUUUUCCUCAGUGACAUCAUUUGAAAAUCUUGAGCAGAUUUUGUGGUAGUUAGUUAUUUUCAUUGCUAAUAAUCUUGGUUAGCUUGUAUACUACCCCGAUGUCUCAUGUGGUUGGGGUUAAGUAGAAAGCUGUGAUUUCCAAGUCAUUAUAAAAAUGAGAACAAGAGCAGAAGUUUGUGUACCAUAGUGACUUUUAAAGUUACUACCUUUCUCUAGCUAAUUAUAUAGUCGUGUUAUGGUACUUCUAUUUCCAAGAUAGAUGUAUACACAUACAGCUGAUUAUAUAUAGUGAUGGAAAUCUAUUGUUUCCUCUUAACAUCAUUAAGUACUCAUUUCCUAGUCUCAUACAACUUUCUAUUUUCUUGUAGUAUUAAUUUUUUUGAGCUACAAGAGAGGCAUCAUACCAAGAACCCCUUCUCCCAAGCUGGUAACACGGUGUGACAAAAAGCACAGAUACGGAACCAGACAUAUCUGGGUACAAAAUUUGUCCUUGCUACUGAAUUGCUCUAUGUCUAUGAGGAAGAUAUGUGACUUCUCUGAAUCUCAGUUUUCUCACCUGAGGUGAGAAUAACAAUGGUGGUGAUUUAUGACUGUUGUGAAAAUUAGAUGAAAUGAAAUGUAAAAGAUAUAGCACAAUAUGUGGCUUAUGGUAGAUUUUUGGCAUAGAUUGGUGACUUUUUCUUUUUACUUUCUUGCAUACCUAGGCAUUCCUUACCCCAUUCCUUUAUCCUCCUAGCCAAUCACAGCAGUGUAUAAAUAACUGAGUGACACCUCAAGGUAGAGUCAUCUACUGUGUAGGGCAGGAGGAGACUAACAAAUAGAGACUUAAAAGGAAGAGAUGGAGACAGACUUCUGGUCACCCUCCCACUUAGACUCUGUUUUCCAGCCACAUUAGACAGCUUACCAUUCACCGGUCUUUUAAGUCGCUAAAAUACUGGGUUAUGGUAUUCUUUCUUGUAAAAAUAUAUGCCUCAUUUUUAUCUUCCUAGAGAGUUUCUUCUCCUUUACUAAGACCCUUCUUAAAUGGUACUUCCUUUGAGAAGGGAUUGCCAAUUUACACACGCACACAUACACAAUCAUACUCCUCACUGAAUUUUACAGCUGCCUGAACUUAACCACAUUUGAAGGCAAUCAUUCUAAAAUGCAUAACUUAGCCAGAAAAUUCCAAACAUCAUUAGCAUUGUUUAGCCGUUUCUCAAUGGAUCCAGGACAAUUAUUAUGGACCAGGUAUUUGGACAGUGUGGUAAAAGGCUGUCAGCCAUCACCUCUGUCCGUACUUUACCUGCCUCAGACAGCUUCUGCCCUUUUCUAGUUUGCUUCUACUAAUCUGUCAGAGGCUGAGAAGCCAGAUAACUAAGCUUUAAAAAAAAUUGCACAUUUAAAAAGUCAAUAUAGUUCCACAUGAAUCCCUAAGAGCCUUAAUGCAAGGCUUUGGGGUAGACAUUUCCGGCUUCUCUGAGGCCUUUAUCAGAGACUUCUGACAAGCUGGACCUUCUGGAUAAGUGGGGAGUUACUGUAUUUUAAUCCAUUAAUGUCUACUUUAUAGAACUACAGAAUAAAAAAUGUAUAUGUAAACGGAAUUUAAAUCAGAAAGUGAGUGCAAACUCACCUAAGCUAUUUAAAGUAUAAUUUAACAUCAAAACAUUCAGUUUAUAUUCAGCUUGUCCAUUACAGAGUUGAGAGGUAAAGGGCCCAGAAGACAAGAACGAGGACCAAAUUGGUAGAUUAUCCUCUGCUUACACUUCAAAUAAACCAGCUAAUUGUUUAUUUAUUUGCCUAGCAGUUGCUGCCUUGAUUAUAGGCCAUUAGUGACCAUUAAUAAAUGAAAUUGUGUUUUCAUUUCCCAAAGCAAUUCUGAAUUCCAUAAAUCUUGC